rnacentral:tRNA from 2 species
GCGGGUGUCGUAUAACGGCUAUUACAUUACCUUGCCAAGGUAGAGACGGGAGUUCGACUCUCCUCACCCGCUCCA